UUUUUUUUUUGUUUUUUUAACCAAAUCAACUUUAUUAGUAUGAGCAGUUGCAUCAGCAGCAAACUGAGCAAAGGGACAGUGUUCGCUAUUAUAAGGUUUACUCAAUCAACCGGGAAUGGGGGAAAACUGACCCAGAAAUUUUAUGUUUUAGGCCACUACUAAAUGCACACGUGCAUACAGCACUGUGGGGUUUAAAGUGUUACUCCAACCACAAUGACUACUUAUGCUUUUAGAAAUGGCUAUGGUGGUGGUAGGAGUCUGUAUGUGCAGCGUUCCUGCUUGAAACUUACAGAGAUAUAUCUUUAAUUCUGUGCUGAGGGUUAGUUACACACCAGAUACAUGUGACUCAGGCAGUUUGGAACUCUGUUACCUGUGCUCUUAGCCAGCGAAACAUUCCGUCAAAGGUGAGAAGCCUUCAAGUGAAGUUCAGUGACAUAUCAGUAGUCAGAAAUUUUGGCUGUAAAAAGCCAUCUGAAAAUACACUUGCAUAGUAAUAAGCAACAACAACAACA